ACCCAGUGUGUUUCGACACACUAUCAUUAACUGAAUCCAUAGGUUAAUGAGGCGAACCGGGGGAACUGAAACAUCUAAGUACCCCGAGGAAAAGAAAUCAACCGAGAUUCCCCCAGUAGCGGCGAGCGAACGGGGAGGAGCCCAGAGCCUGAAUCAGUGUGUGUGUUAGUGGAAGCGUCUGGAAAGGCGCGCGAUACAGGGUGACAGCCCCGUACACAAAAAUGCACAUACUGUGAGCUCGAUGAGUAGGGCGGGACACGUGGUAUCCUGUCUGAAUAUGGGGGGACCAUCCUCCAAGGCUAAAUACUCCUGACUGACCGAUAGUGAACCAGUACCGUGAGGGAAAGGCGAAAAGAACCCCGGCGAGGGGAGUGAAAAAGAACCUGAAACCGUGUACGUACAAGCAGUGGGAGCCUCUUAAUGGGGUGACUGCGUACCUUUUGUAUAAUGGGUCAGCGACUUAUAUUCUGUAGCAAGGUUAACCGAAUAGGGGAGCCGAAGGGAAACCGAGUCUUAACUGGGCGUUAAGUUGCAGGGUAUAGACCCGAAACCCGGUGAUCUAGCCAUGGGCAGGUUGAAGGUUGGGUAACACUAACUGGAGGACCGAACCGACUAAUGUUGAAAAAUUAGCGGAUGACUUGUGGCUGGGGGUGAAAGGCCAAUCAAACCGGGAGAUAGCUGGUUCUCCCCGAAAGCUAUUUAGGUAGCGCCUCGUGAAUUCAUCUCCGGGGGUAGAGCACUGUUUCGGCAAGGGGGUCAUCCCGACUUACCAACCCGAUGCAAACUGCGAAUACCGGAGAAUGUUAUCACGGGAGACACACGGCGGGUGCUAACGUCCGUCGUGAAGAGGGAAACAACCCAGACCGCCAGCUAAGGUCCCAAAGUCAUGGUUAAGUGGGAAACGAUGUGGGAAGGCCCAGACAGCCAGGAUGUUGGCUUAGAAGCAGCCAUCAUUUAAAGAAAGCGUAAUAGCUCACUGGUCGAGUCGGCCUGCGCGGAAGAUGUAACGGGGCUAAACCAUGCACCGAAGCUGCGGCAGCGACACUAUGUGUUGUUGGGUAGGGGAGCG
rnacentral:rRNA from 1 species